rnacentral:rRNA from 1 species
GACGAACGCUGGCGGCGUGCUUAACACAUGCAAGUCGAACGGAAAGGCCCCUUUGGGGGUACUCGAGUGGCGGACGGGUGAGUAACACGUGAGUAACCUGCCCUUGACUUCGGGAUAACUUCAGGAAACUGGGGCUAAUACCGGAUAGGAAUCCUUGCUGCAUGGUGGGGGUUGGAAAGCUUCGGCGGUUUUGGGUGGACUCGCGGCUUAUCAGCUUGUUGGUGGGGUAGUGGCUUACCAAGGCUUUGACGGGUAGCCGGCCUGAGAGGGCGACCGGCCACACUGGGACUUAGAUGCGGCCCAGAUUCCUACGGUUGGCAGCAGUGGGGAAGAUUGCACAAUGGGCGGAAGCCUGAUGCAGCAACGCCGCGUGCGGGAUGACGGCCUUCGGGUUGUAAACCGCUUUCAGCAGGGGAGAAGCUUGUGGUGACGGUACCUGCAGAAGAAGCACCGGCUAACUACGUG